rnacentral:SRP_RNA from 1 species
AGGUACAGUGGCGUGCUCCUGUAGUCCCAGCUAGUAGGAAUACUGAGGGGGUAGGAUCGCUUGAGCCCAGUUCUGGGCUAUGCCAAUUGAGUGUCCACAUUAAGUUCAGCAUCAAUAUGGUGACCACCUGGGAGCAGGUAACCACGAGGUUGCCUAAGGAUGGAUGACCUGGCCCAGGCUGGAAAUAGAACAGGUCAAAACUUAUAUGCUGAUCAAUAGUGGGAUUGUACCUGUGAAUUGCUACUAUACUCGAGCCUGGGUAACAUAGUGGGACCCCCAUCUCU